GGAAGAAUGUUCACUCCAGAGCAAGAGACCCAUAUAGUGAACAUGAAUAAGAAUGAAGCAAAUUUACAGAGUUCCUUUCGAGAGAAACACAGAACGUGUAAAGCAACUGCGAUAUGACUAUGUGCAGAGAGUGAUGGAACUAGAAGCAGAUGCCAUGGGACAUGAGCUACUUUUUGUAGAUGAGGCCGGUUUUAACCUCAGUAAAACCAGGAGACGUGGCAGGAACAUUAUUGGACACCGUGCCAUCAUCAAUGUCCCAGGACAACGUGGUGGUAACAUAACCAUGUGUGCAGCUAUAAGCCAAAAUGGUGUUGUUCACCAUCAUGCAACCAUAGGCCCAUACAACACUGCACACAUUAUUGCAUUCCUGGACACCUUACAUGA